rnacentral:rRNA from 1 species
AUAGGGUGCGAGCGUUGUUCGGAAUUACUGGGCGUAAAGGGCGCGCAGGCGAAUAGUAAGUCGGAGGUGAAAGCCCGGGGCUCAACCCGAGGUCUUUCGAAACUACUAAUCUAGAGAGGGUCAGGGGCCGGCAGAAUUCCUGGUGUAGAGGUAAAAUUCGUAGAUAUCAGGAGGAAUACCGGUGGCGAAGGCGGCC